UACGGAGGGGACUAGCGUUGUUCGGAAUUACUGGCGUAAAGCGCACGUAGGCGGGUUUGUAAGUCAGGGGUGAAAUCCCGGGGCUCAACCUCGGAACUGCCUUUGAUACUGCAAAUCUCGAGUCCGGAAGAGGUGAGUGGAAUUCCUAGUGUAGAGGUGAAAUUCGUAGAUAUUAGGAAGAACACCAGUGGCGAAGGCGGCUCACUGGUCCGGUACUGACGCUGAGGUGCGAAAGCGUGGGGAGCAAACAGG
rnacentral:rRNA from 1 species